GACAUCUUGGCCGAGUGGUUUUAAGGCGUUUCCCUGCUAAGGAAAUCCCUUCGGGGGCGCAGGUUCGAAUCCUGCAGAUGUCG
rfam:Polysphondylium pallidum PN500 unplaced genomic scaffold PPL_contig8, whole genome shotgun sequence.